rnacentral:rRNA from 1 species
GUGCCAGCCGCCGCGGUAAUUCCAGCUCCAAUAGCGUAUAUUAAAGUUGUUGUGGUUAAAAAGCUCGUAGUUGAACCUUGGGCCUGGCUGGCCGGUCCGCCUCACCGCGUGCACUGGUCCGGCCGGGCCUUUCCCUCCGUGGAACCCCAUACCCUUCACUGGGCGUGGCGGGGAAACAGGACAUUUACUUUGAAAAGAUUAGAGUGCUCCAGGCAGGCCUAUGCUCGAAUACAUUAGCAUGGAAUAAUAAAAUAGGACGCGCGGUUCUAUUUUGUUGGUUUAUAGGACCGCCGUAAUGAUUAAUAGGGACAGUCGGGGGCAUCAGUAUUCAACUGUCAGAGGUGAAAUUCUUGGAUCAGUUGAAGACUAACUACUGCGAAAGCAUUUGCCAAGGAUGUUUUCAUUAAUCAGGAACGAAAGUUAGGGGAUCGAAGACGAUCAGAUACCGUCGUAGUCUUAACCAUAAACUAUGCCGACUAGGGAUCGGACGGUGUUAUUCAUGACCCGUUCGGCACCUUACGAGAAAUCAAAGUGCUUGGGCUCCAGGGGGAGUAUGGUCGCGAGGCUGAAACUUAAAGAAAUUGACGGAAGGGCACCACCAGGGGUGGAGCCUGCGGCUUAAUUUGACUCAACACGGGGAAACUCACCAGGUCCAGACACAAUAAGGAUUGACAGAUUGAGAGCUCUUUCUUGAUUUGUGGGUGGUGUGCAUGGCCGUUCUUAGUUGGUGGGGUGACUUGUCUGCUUAAUUGCGAUAACGAACGAGACCUUAACCUGCUAAAUAGCCCGCAUUGCUCCGGCAGUGCGCUGGCUUCUUAGAGGAA